rnacentral:rRNA from 1 species
GACAGAGGAUGCAAGCGUUAUCCGGAAUGAUUGGGCGUAAAGCGUCUGUAGGUGGCUUUUUAAGUCCGCCGUCAAAUCCCCGGGCUCAACCUGGGAACUGCAUCCAAAACUGGCAAGCUAGAGUAUGGUAGAGGGUAGUGGAAUUUCCUGUGUAGCGGUGAAAUGCGUAGAUAUAGGAAGGAACACCAGUGGCGGAAGGCGACUAACCUGGACUGAUACUGACACUGAGAGACGAAAGCUAGGGGAGCGAAUGGG